CGAGGUGGUGUCUGGCUUAAAGAGAGAGGGAUUAGUGAGAAAAUAAGUGCGUCCAGGAAAGUUAUGCCAACCAUCAGCGCGGUCACUCCAGCUGGUCAUAGGUCGCUGUGUAUAAAAGGGCAGCGGCGUGUUGAGGAGGCAUCAUCCAGCGAAGGACGAGGCAGACACAAGGAGGUUCAGACGAAUACCAAUAGUAGAGACGAUGUUUGCUCUUCGCUCCUUGGUUGUGGUGGUGGUGGCGCUGAUGUCCCUGGUGUGUCUGGCGGCGUCUGCUCCAGGGGUACCUUACAACAGACCUUAUGGCGGUUAUGGCCACCAAGGGGGUCAUUUCGGAGGCCACAACAGCGGCUUUGGUGGCAGCUUUGGUGGCAGUUUUGGAGGCAGCCAUGGUAGCUACCACCGCCCCUCCCAUGGCCACAGCAGACCAAGCUACGGAUAUGGACGGUAAGAUUGUUUCCUGACGCUGGCACGCUUCCUCCCUGACUCCAGACCCCGACACUCCAUAAUCUAUCUCUCCCGAAAGCUUCACUCACUGGCAGCCUGAAUGGGAGCCGCGCUGAGACGAUGGUUCUCUUUCAUUUUGUAUCUAUAGACUAAGUGUUUUGGUGACGAGAUGAAUAUAAUAAAUUUGUAAAAACUUU